rnacentral:rRNA from 1 species
GACGAACGCUGGCGGCGUGCUUAACACAUGCAAGUCGAACGGAAAGGCCCUGCUUUUGUGGGGUGCUCGAGUGGCGAACGGGGGAGUAACACGUGAGUAACCUGCCCUUGACUUUGGGAUAACUUCAGGAAACUGGGGCUAAUACCGGAUAGGAGCUCCUGCUGCAUGGUGGGGGUUGGAAAGGUUCGGCGGUUGGGGAUGGACUCGCGGCUUAUCAGCUUGUUGGUGGGGUAGUGGCUUACCAAGGCUUUGACGGGUAGCCGGCCUGAGAGGGUGACCGGCCACAUUGGGACUGAGCUACGGCCCAGACUCCUACGGGAGGCAGCAGUGGGGAAUAUUGCACAAUGGGCGGAAGCCUGAUGCAGCAACGCCGCGUGCGGGAUGACGGCCUUCGGGUUGUAAACCGCUUUCGCCUGUGACGAAGCGUGAGUGACGGUAAUGGGUAAAGAAGCACCGGCUAACUACGUG